rnacentral:rRNA from 1 species
GACGAACGCUGGCGGCGUGCUUAACACAUGCAAGUCGAACGAAGAGCGAUGGAAGCUUGCUUCUAUCAAUCUUAGUGGCGAACGGGUGAGUAACGCGUAAUCAACCUGCCCUUCAGAGGGGGACAACAGUUGGAAACGACUGCUAAUACCGCAUACGAUCUAAUCUCGGCAUCGAGGAUGGAUGAAAGGUGGCCUCUACAUGUAAGCUAUCACUGAAGGAGGGGAUUGCGUCUGAUUAGCUAGUUGGAGGGGUAACGGCCCACCAAGGCGAUGAUCAGUAGCCGGUCUGAGAGGAUGAACGGCCACAUUGGGACUGAGACACGGCCCAGACUCCUACGGGAGGCAGCAGUGGGGAAUCUUCCGCAAUGGACGAAAGUCUGACGGAGCAACGCCGCGUGAGUGAUGACGGCCUUCGGGUUGUAAAGCUCUGUUAAUCGGGACGAAAGGCCUUCUUGCGAAUAGUGAGAAGGAUUGACGGUACCGGAAUAGAAAGCCACGGCUGACUACGUG